UUCUAUUAUAUUUGAAAAUUGCUCGUUCCGUUGAUCCAUUGUAAGUCCCUUGCGCGAUUCACAUUAGAUACGAUUACUGAAUCAAGCCUGCCGCAAAACAGAUAGCCCUUCAUUGCAAGACCGGUUUUUUAAACCACAUUAAAUUUUAUACUUUUUGGAGUUAUCUAUGUCUACUUCUACAGGCACAGUAAAAUGGUUCGACGAAGCUAAAGGUUUCGGUUUUAUUUCUCAAGCUGACGGCGGCAAAGAUGUAUUCGUACACUUCCGUGCGAUCAAAUCUGACGGUUUCCGUACCUUAACUGAAGGUCAAAACGUUCAGUUCACUAUCGAACAAGGUAACAAAGGUCCACAGGCUGCUGACGUAGUAGUACUGUAAGACAUUUGUUCUUAAAAACAGGCACCUUCGGGUGCCUGUUUUGUU
rnacentral:other from 1 species